AUUGAACGCUGGCGGCAUGCCUUACACAUGCAAGUCGAACGGCAGCACGGGUGCUUGCACCUGGUGGCGAGUGGCGAACGGGUGAGUAAUACAUCGGAACAUGUCCUGUAGUGGGGGAUAGCCCGGCGAAAGCCGGAUUAAUACCGCAUACGAUCUACGGAUGAAAGCGGGGGACCUUCGGGCCUCGCGCUAUAGGGUUGGCCGAUGGCUGAUUAGCUAGUUGGUGGGGUAAAGGCCUACCAAGGCGACGAUCAGUAGCUGGUCUGAGAGGACGACCAGCCACACUGGGACUGAGAAACGGCCCAGACUCCUACGGGAGGCAGCAGUGGGGAAUUUUGGACAAUGGGCGAAAGCCUGAUCCAGCAAUGCCGCGUGUGUGAAGAAGGCCUGCGGGUUGUAAAGCACUUUUGUCCGGAAAGAAAUCCUUGGCCCUAAUACGGGCGGGGGAUGACGGUACCGGAAGAAUAAGCACCGGCUAACUACGU
rnacentral:rRNA from 1 species